rnacentral:rRNA from 1 species
UACAGAGGGUGCGAGCGUUGUCCGGAAUCACUGGGCGUAAAGGGCGCGUAGGCGGUCUGGUAAGCGUGUGGUGAAAGCCCGGGGCUCAACCCCGGGUCGGCCGUGCGAACUGCUGGACUGGAGCAGAUCAGAGGCAGGCGGAAUUCCGGGUGUAGCGGUGGAAUGCGUAGAGAUCCGGAAGAACACCGGUGGCGAAGGCGGCCUGCUGGGAUCUUGCUGACGCUGAGGAGCGAAAGCCAGGGGAGCAAACGGG